UUUAUGGAGAGUUUGAUCCUGGCUCAGGAUGAACGCUGGCGGCGUGCCUAAUACAUGCAAGUCGAGCGAACGGACGAGAAGCUUGCUUCUCUGAUGUUAGCGGCGGACGGGUGAGUAACACGUGGAUAACCUACCUAUAAGACUGGGAUAACUUCGGGAAACCGGAGCUAAUACCAGAUAAUAUUUUGAACCGCAUGGUUCAAAAGUGAAAGACGGUCUUGCUGUCACUUAUAGAUGGAUCCGCGCUGCAUUAGCUAGUUGGUAAGGUAACAGCUUACCAAGGCAACGAUGCAUAGCCGACCUGAGAGGGUGAUCGGCCACACUGGAACUGAGACACGGUCCAGACUCCUACGGGAGGCAGCAGUAGGGAAUCUUCCGCAAUGGGCGAAAGCCUGACGG
rnacentral:rRNA from 1 species